rnacentral:rRNA from 1 species
CAAGUCGAACGAGAAAGGGUAGCAAUACCUGAGUAAAGUGGCGCACGGGUGAGUAACACGUGACUAACCUACCCUGGAGUGGGGGAUAACUGAGGGAAACCUUAGCUAAUACCGCAUAAUACCUACGGGUCAAAGGAGCAAUUCGCUUCAGGAGGGGGUCGCGGCCGAUUAGUUAGUUGGCGGGGUAAUGGCCCACCAAGACAGUGAUCGGUAUCCGGCCUGAGAGGGCGCACGGACACACUGGAACUGAAACACGGUCCAGACUCCUACGGGAGGCAGCAGUGGGGAAUUUUGCGCAAUGGGGGAAACCCUGACGCAGCAACGCCGCGUGGAGGAUGAAGUCCUUCGGGACGUAAACUCCUUUCGAUCGGGACGAUUAUGACGGUACCGGAAGAAGAAGCCCCGGCUAACUUCGUGCCAGCAGCCGCGGUAAUACGAGGGGGGCGAGCGUUGUUCGGAAUUAUUGGGCGUAAAGGGUGCGUAGGCGGUUUUGUAAGUCUUAUGUGGAAUCUAUGGGCUCAACUCAUAGACUGCAUGAGAAACUGCAGGGCUUGAGUAUGGGAGAGGUGAGUGGAAUUCCUGGUGUAGCGGUGAAAUGCGUAGAUAUCAGGAGGAACACCUGUGGCGAAAGCGGCUCACUGGACCAUAACUGACGCUGAUGCACGAAAGCUAGGGGAGCAAACAGGAUUAGAUACCCUGGUAGUCCUAGCCCUAAACGAUGACUGCUUGGUGUGACGGGUACCCAAUCCCGCCGUGCCGUAGCUAACGCGUUAAGCAGUCCGCCUGGGGA